rnacentral:rRNA from 1 species
UGAUUUUAUUAAGGGCCGCGGUAUUUUGACCGUGCGAAGGUAGCAUAAUCAUUAGUCUUUUAAUUGGAGGCUCGUAUGAAUGGUUGGACAAAAAGUUAACUGUCUCGUUUAUAUAAAUUGAAUUUAACUUUUAAGUGAAAAGGCUUAAAUUAACUGAAGGGACGAUAAGACCCUAUAAAGCUUUACAAUAAGUUAAUUAAAUUAUAAAUUGUUAGUAUAACUUAAUUUAAUUAAUGUUUGUUUCGUUGGGGCGACGGGAAUAUAAUUAUAUAACUGUUCUUUUAUAAAUUUAACAAAAUUAAUUGGAUAAUAAUUGAUCCUUUAAUAAAGAUUAAAAGAUUAAGUUACUUUAGGGAUAACAGCGUAAUCUUCUUUGAGAGUUCAGAUCGACAAGAAGGGUUGCGACCUCGAUGUUGAAUUAAGGUAUCCUUACAAUGCAGCAGUUGUAAAGGAAGGUCUGUUCGACCUUUAAAUCCUUACGUGAUCU